CAAAGACAGUGCCCAGUGCAGAAGAGUCCCCAUUUCAAAAGACGCCCAUGUAAUAAUUCAAUUCAGAAACUGCCCAAAACCAAUGGGCCCAAACCCUUUAUAAAAAUUCAAGUCAGCAUCAAGCUCCUAUCUCAGCCUUAUUCAAAUUUGAUCUGCUAAAAACCUCACAUAGAAAGGGGCCCCAAAAGGCAAAUACCAAACUAGGAAGAAUCUCUAGUUGUUGGGAUUUCAGGACUCCUCUCUUCAUAUUCAUAGCUUUUAUCUCAAACCCCAAAAGAAAAGCAAAGAAAAAAUGAAAAAAUGAGAAAAAAACCAUAGAAAAACUACCUUUCUUUCCUUCCAUCCCAAAGAAAGAAAACCCACCUCUGUUCGCAUCUUCCCGUUGUAGAUGCCUGUGGUUUUUCUCUGAAGAUGGUCCAAAGAAAGGUAGGCAACAAGCUUGGAAUCCAAGCUGAUCAUGUUAGUAAGACCGAGAAGCGUUUGGGGAACCUCAAACCGGGGUUUUCCCAGCACCAGGAUGGCAGAAACAGGGCUGCUGACAUGAAGAAGAAAAUGAAGAAAUCAAGAUCAAUCAAGCUUUCAGAUAUUGAGAGCUUAAGAUCAUCACCUCUGCAGCCUGGCAAGCCGCCUCCUCUCAGUGCCCAACCAGCUGCAGCAAAGCAAUCUGUGAUCAGGCCACCUGAUGGGUCGCCAAAUUAUAUGAAGUCCACCAGCUGUUCUGAUGCAAGGAAGGAGAGUUCCCAGGUGAGUCCCCGGAGUCCUCAAACUGGUUCUGGCAGUGGGCGGAGGCUUUCAAGUAAUUCAAAAGUUUGCUCCGCUUCCACCCAUAGAACUGCAAGAACAUCAAGUUUGAAACUGGUGAAGACCUUAACAAAGAGUCCUAGCUUUAAACCGGUGAGAGCUUCUACCAAGAAGUGCUCCAAGGUUGCUCUGUGUGCAGAUAUGGAUGCACAUGGAGCUACGUGUUCUUCAACCCUGAAAGAUUCCAACUUUCCUGAAUAUCUCAUGCUCAAUCCUGGGGGAACUGAAUAUGAAGGAACUUCAGUUAUCAAGGUUUGCCCUUAUACUUACUGUUCUCUCAACGGUCAUCACCAUGCUCCUUUGCCUCCAUUGAAGUGCUUCUUGUCAGCAAGGCGACGUGUGCUGAAGACCCAGAAGACUAUGAAAUUGGAAGCUCUAUCCCCGCGAAGAGCUAAGCUGCCUGGUGAUGGCAUGAAAUCAAUUGAUACUGCGCAGGUGAUCAUUGAUGGGAAACCUGCUAUUCAAGAAGUUGAUUCAGGUAGCUCAGCAGUGUCCCCUCUCAUACAAGAAGUUGGCAUGGAUUUUUUCAUUGAAAUCUAUGCUAAAAAUAGAGAUGACUCUGCUGAAGCAAUUGGAAGCAACAUACCUGAUCAGGAUGAUGAGGAGAUAGUUGAUGUUGCUGGGGAAACUGGACAUCUCAAUGACAUCAUGCCUUCAGUUGAAGGUGGCGAUGAAACAACAAAAGAUGAUGGGCAAGUUGCAGACAGCGAAUCAGAUGAACCACCAGUCUCUGAGAUUGAUUCUGGGGACAAUCUGGAUCAGAACAGUGAUAUCGUUUUCGCUGAAACCUCUUCUGAACGAGACCAGAGGGCAGAGGAAGCAGAUGAAGACUAUCCACCUUCCUUGGUUCCAGGAGAAAUCACUCCUGGAUACAGCAGUGAUGGAUGGGAAUCAAAAUCUGAAGCUACUGAUAUGGACUGGGAAGAGGGGCGAUUUUCGGCCCAACAUCCUCAUAAUUCAACUCAAGGCAACGAUGAGUCUAAUUUGGGAAGCGGUUACCUGCCGGAGAUCAAGCAUCCUGAUUUGCAUGAUGAACCCAUCUCCAAGCCAGAUGAUAUUAUCAGCAAGUGCUUUGAGGAGAUUUUUUCUGAAGUAAAGCAAGAGGUCAUUGAAGAUGAAAGUUCAUGCUUUGAAGUGCAAUUCAGCGACAGUGAUUCAGAUUCAGAUAGCAUAGACCAGAAUUUGGAGAAUGAUGAAUCUAGCCAAAUGUCCGAGAGCCCAAAUGAAGAGCAAAUUUCUUCAAUUUUCAAGGAAGUAGCAACUCAUGAAGAAGAAGAUGGAAAGGCCGGGAUAUAUGAUUUCUUCAGCAUUCAAGUUGAUUCAUCUCCAGUUGAAGAGGCAAUUGACGAACCAGUGGCAGCCAAUAAUGAGAAGAGUGGAGUUUCUGAAGCAGGGUCUUUAAUCCUGGAGAUGAAUCCCCAACUUGGGGAUGUUGAAGCCACUGGUGACAUUGAAAUUGCGGAUAAACCUAUGAUUGAUCAACAGGAGAGUGGAUUUCUUCAAGAUGAUGAUGCAAAUGUGCAGCUCAAGAACCAAGACUCUGAUUCGUCUCAAGAUUUGAACAUUACAGAUCAGGAUGAAACAAAUGAAGAUUUCAAUGGAGGUGAUAAGGCCAGUGAAGACCACCAGUUUGAUUCCAUCACUGAAGGAAGAAGGCUGAGUGAAGAGGCAUUCAAUGAAACCGUCCUUCUGAAGACUGAGUAUUUAGAAACAAAUCAGAAUGCUGCCACAAGAGAUUUUGUCCUGGAGCAGGAACUCAUCAAUGGUGGUGAUGAAGGAGGAAAGGAAGAGAAAGAACAAGCGGAUAGCGUUGCUGAUAACUGUAAAUCAAGUCGAGCAUUUUCUGAUGAAAGCCUUCUUGCAGAAACUCAGGAUCACCCAUGUGACAACAAUGUUGAAGACAAGAUUGACUCUGAGGAGGAUAAAGCUCAAGCUGGGAAGUUCAAGAUCACAAGUUCCAUGGAUUUGGAGGAACACAGUGAUUCAAAAAUGAAGAAAUCUGCUUUAGCUGAAAACAGUGAUGGAGAAGUUGAUAACAUGGAAGUGGAAGAUAGAACCGAACCAGAAGCAGCAGAUACACGCCUCAGUUCCAACAAUAGAACCAACUCAGAAGUCAGAACUACAUUCUUCCCUGCACGACGCAACACCAACCAAGAACUAGUCACAACCUCCAAUAAGCCAAAAGGAGCAAUCAGACGCAGGAGACCUGUCAAGGACAAUGAAGAACCAAGAAGCUUCAAUCCACGUGAACCAAAUUACUUGCCACUAGAGCCUGACCCAGAAGCAGAGAAGGUUGAUCUCAGGCAUCAAAUGAUGGAUGAAAGGAAAAACUCAGAGGAAUGGAUGCUUGAUUUUGCACUCCGCAAGACUGUCACAGAACUUGCUCCAGCUAGGAAGAGGAAAGUGGCACUGCUUGUUGAAGCUUUUGAAACAGUACUCCCAUUGCCCAAAUAUGAAACCCGUAUCAGGCAUACUUCAGCAGCUUUUGCUCACCCAAGACCCAUUCAAGCCUGCAGCUGAUGCAGGUUUCUACGGUAAACGCAAAAACUCUGCAUUCUGCAAAGCCUGUGUUCCUGUUGCUUUAUUUUAUCUACAACUCUAUUGCGACAAUCAGAGGAAGCAGCUUAUGUACAACACUAUAACUACAAUAAAUCGGUGAACUAAGUACUAAUAUAAUUUAUCCAAGGUCUGUGUCUAGGAGAAAACUACAGGAGCCAAAAGAUCAACAAACAAGUUCUGCAGCUCCUCCAGAAUCAGAGGCAAAACUUAUUGAAGGAGCCAUGGUGAGAUGGAGAUUGAACUGCACAAACAAUAUUGUGUUUCUCCUAAGCUCUGAAACAAAUGUUUAAGUUAAGAGCAUUGAUUUCAAUAUUUAUGUAAUAACAAUAGUGUGUGGGGAGUUUAGUUUUCUUCGUGUGAUAGUAUCUAUCUAUCCUUUGUUGCUGGAGAGGGCACAUAACCUCCAGAUAUUGGUAAUUACAAUACUGAUUGUUCGUUUAUUGUUAUUAUGUAUUGAUGACCAAUUGAGUUGUAUCAACAUAUAACUAAUAGUUUCUUUUCCCCUUAA